CAGUCGAACGAAACUUCUUUAUCACCGAGUGCUUGCACUCACCGAUACAGAGUUGAGUGGCGAACGGGUGAGUAACACGUGGGCAACCUGCCCAAAAGAGGGGGAUAACACUUGGAAACAGGUGCUAAUACCGCAUAACCAUAGUUACCGCAUGGUAACUAUGUAAAAGGUGGCUAUACUACCGCUUUUGGAUGGGCCCGCGGCGCAUUAGCUAGUUGGUAGGGUAAAGGCUUACCAAGGCAAUGAUGCGUAGCCGAAUUGAGAGGUUGAUCGGCCACAUUGGGACUGAGACACGGCCCAAACUCCUACGGGAGGCAGCAGUAGGGAAUCUUCCACAAUGGGCGAAAGCCUGAUGGAGCAACGCCGCGUGGGUGAAGAAGGUCUUCGGAUCGUAAAACCCUGUUGUUAGAGAAGAAAGUGCGUGAGAGUAACUGUUCACGUUUCGACGGUAUCUAACCAGAAAGCCACGGCUAACUACGUGCCAGCAGCCGCGGUAAUACGUAGGUGGCAAGCGUUAUCCGGAUUUAUUGGGCGUAAAGGGAACGCAGGCGGUCUUUUAGGUCUGAUGUGAAAGCCUUCGGCUUAACCGGAGUAGUGCAUUGGAAACUGGGAGACUUGAGUGCAGAAGAGGAGAGUGGAACUCCAUGUGUAGCGGUGAAAUGCGUAGAUAUAUGGAAGAACACCAGUGGCGAAAGCGGCUCUCUGGUCUGUAACUGACGCUGAGGUUCGAAAGCGUGGGUAGCAAACAGGAUUAGAUACCCUGGUAGUCCACGCCGUAAACGAUGAAUGCUA
rnacentral:rRNA from 1 species